CAUGAUGAAACACUAGUUCCAGUAUGAUCCCUGAAGUUAAGCAAUGUUGAACCUGAUCAGUACCUAGAUGGGUAACUGCUGAGGAAUACCAGGUGCUGUAA